AUUGAACGCUGGCGGCAUGCCUAACACAUGCAAGUCGCACGCGAAAGGGGGCAACCCCGAGUAGAGUGGCGGACGGGUGCGUAAUACGUAGGAAUCUACCUGAUAGUGGGGGACAACCCGGCGAAAGCCGGGCUAAUACCGCAUACGACCUAUGGGUGAAAGCCGGGGACCGCAAGGCCUGGCGCUAUUAGAUGAGCCUGCGUCGGAUUAGCUAGUUGGUGAGGUAAAGGCUACCAAGGCGACGAUCCGUAGCUGGUCUGAGAGGACGACCAGCCACACUGGGACUGAGACACGGCCCAGACUCCUACGGGAGGCAGCAGUGGGGAAUAUUGGACAAUGGGGGCAACCCUGAUCCAGCAAUGCCGCGUGUGUGAAGAAGGCC
rnacentral:rRNA from 1 species